rnacentral:rRNA from 1 species
AUUGAACGCUGGCGGCAUGCCUUACACAUGCAAGUCGAACGGCAGCACGGGAGCAAUCCUGGUGGCGAGUGGCGAACGGGUGAGUAAUACAUCGGAACGUGCCCAGUAGUGGGGGAUAACCCGGCGAAAGCCGGACUAAUACCGCAUACGACCUACGGGUGAAAGCGAGGGGAUCGCAAGACCUUGCGCUAUUGGGACGCGGCCGAUGUCAGAUUAGCUUGUUGGNGGGGUAAAAGCCUACCAAGGCAACGAUCUGUAGCUGGUCUGAGAGGACGACCAGCCACACUGGGACUGAGACACGGCCCAGACUCC